CAGAGUUCAUGCCCUCACGGGUAGAUCUCCCACCCUUGAAUACUAUACCUUUGUUGCUUUGGCGGGCCGCUUCGGCUGCUGGCUCCGGCUGGUGAGUGCCUGCCAAAGGAUCCCAAAACUCUGAAUAUUAGUGUCGUCUGAGUACUAUAUAAUAGUUA
rnacentral:misc_RNA from 1 species